rnacentral:misc_RNA from 1 species
GCCGCCGACCCCCACCUUCGACUUCAUCUCUCGUCUCCCCCACACACGCAGUCGAUCAUGUCGGAUGAGGAGCACCAGUUUGAGUCGAAGGCCGAUGCUGGAGCUUCCAAGACGUACCCGCAGCAGGCUGGGACGAUUCGCAAGAGUGGAUACCUUGUGAUCAAGGGGAGGCCCUGCAAGGUUGUUGAGGUCUCGACCUCCAAGACUGGGAAGCAUGGGCAUGCUAAAUGCCACUUUGUGGCUAUAGACAUUUUCAAUGGCAAGAAACUUGAGGAUAUUGUGCCCUCAUCUCAUAAUUGUGAUGUCCCCCAUGUUACUCGUACUGAUUAUCAGCUCAUUGAUAUCUCGGAAGAUGGAUUUGUGAGCCUUCUCACUGAAAAUGGCCAUACAAAGGAUGACCUG